rnacentral:rRNA from 1 species
UGGGGAAUAUUGCACAAUGGGCGCAAGCCUGAUGCAGCCAUGCCGCGUGUGUGAAGAAGGCCUCGGGUUGUAAAGCACUUUCAGCGAGGAGGAAGGUGGUGAACUUAAUACGUUCAUCAAUUGACGUUACUCGCAGAAGAAGCACCGGCUAACUCCGUGCCAGCAGCCGCGGUAAUACGGAGGGUGCAAGCGUUAAUCGGAAUUACUGGGCGUAAAGCGCACGCAGGCGGUUUGUUAAGUCAGAUGUGAAAUCCCCGGGCUCAACCUGGGAACUGCAUUUGAAACUGGCAAGCUAGAGUCUCGUAGAGGGGGGUAGAAUUCCAGGUGUAGCGGUGAAAUGCGUAGAGAUCUGGAGGAAUACCGGUGGCGAAGGCGGCCCCCUGGACGAAGACUGACGCUCA